GGGGGAAUAUUGGGCAAUGGGCGAAAGCCUGACCCAGCGACGCCGCGUGAGGGAAGAAGGUCUUCGGAUUGUAAACCUUAGUCAACAGGGAAGAAACAAAUGACGGUACCUGUGGAGGAAGCCACGGCUAACUACGUGCCAGCAGCCGCGGUAAUACGUAGGUGGCGAGCGUUAUCCGGAAUUAUUGGGUUUAAAGGGUGCGUAGGCGGAUGGGUAAGUCAGCGGUGAAAUGUCCCGGCUCAACCGGGGAACUGCCAUUGAUACUGCCUGUCUUGAAUGCGGAUGCCGUGGGAGGAAUGUGUAGUGUAGCGGUGAAAUGCAUAGAUAUUACACAGAACACCGAUUGCGAAGGCAUCUCACGAAUCCGUUAUUGACGCUGAGGCACGAAAGCGUGGGGAUCAAACAGGAUUAGAUACCCUGGUAGU
rnacentral:rRNA from 1 species